GAGACUGCGGCAAACAACACUGGA
rnacentral:siRNA from 1 species